UAAUCACUUGGGUAAUUCCGAGCCCGCUCCCUUGGUACAUCCGUCCGGGCCUUCAGUGACCUGCGGGACAGAUCAACAGCCGGGUUGUUGCUGAGCCUUUUCCCCUCCCCGGCCGAGCACGCGUGACGGGGCUGCUCGUUGACCCGUACUAGACACGUCCCGUCCCUCCUUUGGUGUCAGCAGGUGAUCACACGAGAACAAAACAACAAACAACGAAAGUACAAAUUCAAGAAAAUCGAUAGUAAAUGAAAAUACAAGUCCAAUGAAAUGAUGAAUAAGCGUCAACAGGUGUGUGAGUGACUCAGGUGAGAAAAGAAACAAAAACAAAACAGUUAUCAAUUCAUGAAGGAAGAAAAUAAGGAAAAAUGAAAAGACAAACUCAGUGAAAUGACAAGUAAAUGAACCACCGAUUCCUUUGUACUUCCAGGCCUCAGGAGGUGUGACUCGGGUGAAAACAAAAAAAAAACAUCAAAAAUUACAUAGGCAAACAAAAAAACAUUGGACGCCCAUUUGAACCAGCAGGCAUGGGCGGGGGGGCUAGGCACAGGGGGAGGGGCAGCCACCCCCCCACACCCACACCCACGGGGGACUAGAGCCAUGCCCACGGACUCCCCCCCUCCCUAAUGGACGGGGAUACUCGGGGCACUCCCUCACCCCUCCCCACCACCCCCACCGACCCCCUUACGCCCCCCUUGAGAACCCCAGCGCCCCCCACCACACACGGGGAUGUGACAGCAAGGGGUGGGGGGUCCUCGGGGGGCAAAGAACCCAUAUGGAACUGGUGGGGGGAGCUGAAUGUCACAUGGGGGGCGGAGGGGGGCGGAAGGGGGACUCAUGGAGGUGGAGCAUAGAAAAUGGGACCUGGAACCUGGAUGUGGAGGAGUGGGGCGGGGAGGGGAACUGGACGGCCCCCCACGGGAACUGGAGUGUGAACGAGACCUUGGCGGGGGGCGGGGGGGCGGCCCUUGACCCCCACCUACUGGUCACGGCCACCACCGCCCUCGUGCUGGGGGUCAUGAUCCUGGCAACCAUCGUGGGUGAGUACUGACCUGACCCCUGUGUGACCUUAACCUGUGACCUAAUCUAACGGAAUUUUCACUUCAUGACCUUCAAUUCUCUGUGGUUAUCUGUUCUCUACUCUCCCUCAACCUUACUGACCUGACCCCUGUGUGACCUUAACCUGUGACCUAAUCUAACGGAAUUUCCACUUCAUGACCUUCAG